rnacentral:rRNA from 1 species
GGAGCCGUAGCGAAAGCGAGUUUUAACUGAGCGUUCAGUUACUUGACGUAGACCCGAAACCGGGCGACCUACCCAUGAGCAGGAUGAAGCGAAAGUAAAAUUUCGUGGAGGUCCGAACCCACGAGCGUUGAAAAGCUCGGGGAUGACUUGUGGGUAGCGGUGAAAUUCCAAUCGAGCCCGGAGAUAGCUGGUUCUCCCCGAAAUAGCUUUAGGGCUAGCCUCAAGGUGAGAGAUACGGAGGUAGAGCACUGAAUGUCCUAGGGGGUAUUGCACCUACCGAAGACUAUCAAACUCCGAAUGCCGUCAUCUUAUACUUGGGAGUCAGACUGUGGGUGAUAAGAUUCAUAGUCGAAAGGGCAACAGCCCAGAUCGUCAGCUAAGGUCCCUAAAUGUAAGUUAAGUGGUAAAGGAUGUGGGAUUGCACAGACAACCAGGAUGUUGGCUUAGAAGCAGCCACUCAUUCAAAGAGUGCGUAAUAGCUCACUGGUCGAGUGAUCCUGCGCCGAAGAUUUCCGGGGCUAAAACUUACUACCGAAGCUACGGCAUCAGUAAUGAUGGGUAGGGGAGCUUCCCAUACGGGUUGAAGCAUGACCGUAAGGACAUGUGGACAGUAUGGGAGUGAGAAUGUUGGCAUGAGUAGCGAGAUGUGGGUGAGAAUCCCACAGGCCGUAAACCCAAGGUUUCCAGGGGAAGGUUCGUCCGCCCUGGGUUAGUCGGGACCUAAGCUGAGGCCGAAAGGCGUAGGUGAUGGACAACAGGUUGAUAUUCCUGUACUACCGAUAACCGUUUGAGAGAAGGGAUGACACAGUAGGAUAAGCUAAGCACACUGUUGGUUAUGUGUGCCCAAGCAUUGAGGCAGUCAAAGUAGGCAAAUCCGCUUUGAUAAUGCUGGGAUGUGAUGGGGAGCGAAAUUUAGUAGCGAAGUAGCUGAUUUCACACUGUCAAGAAAAGUCUCUAUCGAGGUUAAAGGUACCCGUACCGCAAACCGACACAGGUGGGUGAGGAGAGUAUCCUAAGGCCAGCGAGAGAACUGUUGUUAAGGAACUCGGCAAAAUGACCCCGUAACUUAGGGAUAAGGGGUGCCACCAUCAGGUGGCCGCAGAGAAUAGGCCCAAGCGACUGUUUACCAAAAACAUAGGUUUCUGCUAAGUCGCAAGACGAUGUAUAGGAGCUGACGCCUGCCCGGUGCUGGAAGGUUAAGGGGAUCUGUUAGAGCAAUCGAAGCAGUGAACUUAAGCCCCAGUAAACGGCGGCCGUAACUAUAACGGUCCUAAGGUAGCGAAAUUCCUUGUCGGGUAAGUUCCGACCCGCACGAAAGGCGUAACGAUUUGGGCACUGUCUCAACAACAGACUCGGUGAAAUUGUAAUUCCGGUGAAGAUGCCGGAUACCUGCGACAGGACGGAAAGACCCCAUGGAGCUUUACUGUAGCUUGACAUUGGGUCUUGGUACUACAUGUACAGGAUAGGUGGGAGGCUUUGAAACCAGGACGCCAGUUUUGGCGGAGCCAUCCUUGGGAUACCACCCUUGUAGUACUGGGACUCUAACCAUAGGCCAUGAAUCUGGUCUUGGGACACUGUCAGGUGGGCAGUUUGACUGGGGCGGUCGCCUCCCAAAAGGUAACGGAGGCGCUCAAAGGUUCUCUCAGUACGGUCGGAAAUCGUACGUAGAGUGUAAAGGCAAAAGAGAGCUUGAUUGCAAGACAUACAGGUCGAGCAAGGAUGAAAAUCGGACUUAGUGAUCCGGUG